GGAACUGUGUGAAUCUAUAUCUUACACUUAAGCGAAGUAGCAAAGAUAAUAAAUUGUUCCAGCUCAGUGGGAUAGAGUCUAAGUUGUCCCUUUUUAUGUAAAGAUACGAUGAUGUGACGAACCUGCAA